rnacentral:lncRNA from 10 species
CAACCCACCUUUGGUUCAAGCCAUUAUCUGCCAGGUCAUUAGUUACCCAGACCAGGUGUUGCUGGUACCAACACCUCUGAGCCUCCACACUUGCUGUUCCCUCGCCUGGAAUCAUCUCUCUCUUUUUGUCUGGAGAAUUGUAGUCAUGCUUCAAGUGUUAUCAGCUUGGAUGUCACCCCUCUGGGAAACCUUCUUGGAUGUCACUUUCUUCUGCUCUGGGUUGUGAAUCUUCCUAUUCCACAUGGUUAUCUCCUCAACUCUCAAUUCCAUCUUCAUAUGAUGCCUCUUAUGCCUCUGCAGAGCCUGGCGUGAAGCGAGUGUGCAGCUCAUUCUUGAUAGAAAAAGAAAGGAUGACUGCUUGCUGCUCAUGAGGCCAGCAUUCAUAUUUGGAGCCAAGGAGUGUCUUUUGUUAUAGCUGUGAUGAUUGUGACAGGUGAUUGAAAGGGUGUUACACCUUUCUCCCCACACAUCGCCUUGCUGUACUUCCUUUGAGUACCCCAGGUUAAAAUGCCAGACCCCACUGUGAACUGGAUUUGCGGGUUCUGUGUACCCCAGAGGUAGGUGGGUCCCCAAAUCUGCCCUUUCUAUGAUGAUGACAGUAGUUACAGCUAGG